rnacentral:rRNA from 1 species
UACAGAGGGUGCAAGCGUUGUUCGGAAUUACUGGGCGUAAAGCGCGCGCAGGCGGUCCUUCAAGUCAGGGGUGAAAGCCCAGGGCUCAACCCUGGAAUGGCCUUUGAGACUAGAGGACUUGGGUACGGGAGAGGUGAGUGGAAUUCCGAGUGUAGAGGUGAAAUUCGUAGAUAUUCGGAAGAACACCAGUGGCGAAGGCGGCUCACUGGUCCCGUUACCGACGCUCAGGCGCGACAGCGUGGGGAGCAAACAGG